rnacentral:misc_RNA from 1 species
AAGUCGUAACAAGGUUUCCGUAGGUGAACCUGCGGAAGGAUCAUUAUCAAAACAGCGGACUUCGGUACUUGCUGCACCCUUGUCUUUUGCGUACCGUAUGUUUCCUCGGCGGGCUUGCCUGCCGGUUGGACAAUAUCAAACCUUUUUGUAGUUGCAAUCAGCGUCAGAAAACAAAUAAUAAUUACAACUUUCAACAACGGAUCUCUUGGUUCUG